UAAGGGGGCUAUACUGGGAGUGCUCCACCUGUUCCCAUUCCGAACACAGAAGUGAAAUCUCCCGAGGCUGAUGAUAGUGCAACAGCGCGAAAGUAGGUAGCUCCCCUAC
rnacentral:rRNA from 1 species